CUAUUUUUAUAGUGUGACGGUGUGCCUGUUGAAGAAUGAGCCGGCGAGUUACCUUGUGUAGUUAGGUUAAGCGGUUAAUACGCGAAGCCAUAGAGAAAUCGAGUCUGAUAAGGGCGUUAAAUUACAUGAGGUAGACCCGAACCUAGGUGAUCUAGGCAUGGCCAGGAUGAAGCGCAUGUAACAGUGCGUAGAGGUCCGAACCAACCGAUGUUGAAAAAUCGGUGGAUGAGCUGUGUUUAGGGGUGAAAUGCCAAUCGAACCUAGAGCUAGCUGGUUCUCCCCGAAAGGCGUUUAGGCACCGCGUCGGAUUUAUCUUAUGGGGGGUAGAGCACUAGUUCGGUGCGGGCGGAGAAAAUCCGUACCAAAUCGAGUUAAACUCCGAAUACCCAUAAUGUUAUUGUCCGGCAGUGAGACAGUGAGAGAUAAGUUCCAUUGUCGAGAGGGAAACAGCCCAGACCGCCGACUAAGGACCCAAAGAACAUGCUAAGUGGUUAAGGAGGUGGAGUUGCAUAGACAACCAGGAUGUUGGCUUAGAAGCAGCCACCAUUCAAAGAAAGCGUAAUAGCUCACUGGUCAAGCGACUCUGCGCCGAAAACGUAUGGGACUAAGCAUGUCUCCGAAAUCGCGGGAAUAGUAUUUAUACUGUUCAGUAGGGGAGCGUUGUGUUGUAGGCUGAAGUGAGAGCGUAAGCACUCAUGGACGAACCACAAGUGAGAAUGUCGGCUUAAGUAGCGAAAACAUUGGUGAGAAUCCAAUGCACCGGAAGACUAAGGGUUCCUGCACAAGGCUCGUCCUUGCAGGGUUAGUCGGGGACUAAGGCGAGGCCGAAAGGCGUAGUCGAUGUACAACAGGUUGAUAUUCCUGUACUACGGCUCUAUCGUUAUCAGAAGCGGGGUGACGCAGUAGGCUAUAUGCGCCAGUCUGGUGGAUUGACUGGUCUAAGCGUGUAGGGAGUCCGUGUAGGCAAAUCCGCACGGGCGUUAGUCCUGAGACGUUACGGGGAGGCACCACGGUGUCGAAGGCAUAGAGGCCACACUGCCAAGAAAACCCUCGCUAUCGAGAUAGUUCCGUAUCCGUACUGUAAACCGCCACAGGUGGGUGGGUAGAGAAUACCAAGGCGCGCGAGAUAACUCUCUCUAAGGAACUCGGCAAAAUAGCCUCGUACCUUCGGAAGAAGAGGUACCCUGGUACCGUAAAGGCUCUAUACGGGCCCGAGCGGGAUAGGGUCGCAGUGAAAUGUCCCAGGCGACUGUUUACCAAAAACACAGGUCUGUGCUAAGUCGUAAGACGAUGUAUACAGGCUGACGCCUGCCCAGUGUCGGAAGGUUACGUGGACCGGUUAGCGCUUUGCGCGAAGCUGGGAAACUAAGCCCCGAUGAACGGCGGCCGUAACUAUAACGGUCCUAAGGUAGCGAAAUUCCUUGUCAGGUAAGUUCUGACCCGCACGAAUGGCGUAACGAUCUGGGAACUGUCUCGGAGAGAGACUCGGUGAAAUAGGAAUGGCUGUGAAGAUACGGCCUACGCAUGCCAGGACAGAAAGACCCUAUUGAGCUUUACUCUACCUAGUCAUUGAGAUUUGAUUUUAGUUGCGCAGGAUAGGUGGGAGACUUUGAAGCUUGGGCUCCGGCCCUUGCUGAGUCGUCCUUGAGAUACCACUCUUCUAACGUUGGAUUUCUAACGGGUGUCCACUAACAUCUGGAAUCCGGACAGUGACUGGCGGGGAGUUUGACUGGGG
rnacentral:rRNA from 1 species